AUAACUUUACCUCAACCGAGCCUGAAGCGUGUAACGGGGCCGAAAUGAAAUGUCGUGGGGAUAAGAUCGGUUAAAAUGCGAUUCCUCCUUUGAUUCUUCAUCAUUCCUACUCCUUUCUUUCGAUCCCUUCCUCUUUUGUCAUUUUCUUUCAUGGAAAAUUUAUCGCGGAAAUUUUAUAAAAUAUCCCCUUCUUAUUUCAUUCUGACUAGUUGAAAAAAAAAAAACUGAAAGAAAUAUUUGGAAUAGAAAGAAGUAUAGAUAUCAUUGGCGAGUUUGGGAAGAAGAGGUUAAUGGAGACGAGAGAUCGACGUCCCAAAUUAGCUUCCGGAGAAAGCAGUCUACUUCAAAAUUUAACAGGUUUUGUUAACAAAAAUCCAUCAACACUGAUAAUUAAUUAUUGCAACUGAAGUCGUGCUUGCAGACACCGGUCAGCAGCCAUCACUGAAAUCAAUACAUCAAGGGGCGUUCACACGGCUUACGAAAGUGAAUGAGCAGAUUUUCUACCUGUUUUAUCUAUCACAAAAUCCAAAUGAUACAGAAUAUUUGAAUUCCUUACUAACAUUUCAGAAUAUUAUCUACUAUUCAUUCAUUACAUUUGAUGGUAUAAUUUAUUACAAUUUAGCAUGAAUUUUUCAUAACUUUCAAUAAG